GGGCCCGCACAAGCGGUGGAGUAUGUGGUUUAAUUCGAUGCAACGCGAAGAACCUUACCAGGGCUUGACAUCCUGCGAACCUCUGGGAAACCGGAAAGUGCCUUCGGGAGCGCAGUGACAGGUGGUGCAUGGCUGUCGUCAGCUCGUGUCGUGAGAUGUUGGGUUAAGUCCCGCAACGAGCGCAACCCACGUCUUUAGUUGCCAGCAUUUAGUUGGGCACUCUAGAGAGACCGCCGGUGAUAAACCGGAGGAAGGUGUGGAUGACGUCAAGUCAUCAUGCCCCUUACAUCCUGGGCUACACACGUACUACAAUGCUACGGACAAAGGGCAGCAAACUCGCGAGAGCUAGCAAAUCCCAUAAACCGUGGCUCAGUUCAGAUCGUAGGCUGCAACUCGCCUACGUGAAGCGGAAUCGCUAGUAAUCGCAGGU
rnacentral:rRNA from 1 species